GGAGCGGCUCCGGGCGGCAGCCAUGAGGCGGGACGUGCGCAUCCUGUUACUGGGCGAGGCCCAGGUGGGGAAGACGUCGCUGAUCCUGUCCCUGGUGGGCGAGGAGUUCCCCGAGGAGGUAAAGGGCACGCCCGCCGCGGGGGUGGGAGCGGGCCCAGCCGGGGGUCCCUGGUGAGCGCGCGGGUCCCUUGCAGGUCCCUCCCCGCGCGGAGGAGAUCACGAUCCCCGCGGACGUCACCCCGGAGAAGGUGCCCACCCACAUCGUGGACUACUCAGAAGCCGAGCAGACGGACGAGGAGCUGCGCGAGGAGAUCCACAAGGCAAACGUGGUGUGUGUGGUGUAUGACGUCUCCGAGGAGGCCACCAUUGAGAAGAUUCGAACUAAGUGGAUCCCACUGGUGAAUGGGGGGACCACGCGGGGGCCCAGGUAAUGAGGGGGAUGUGGAAGGGGCUGGGACCCCCGGCUCCCCUGCCCCUGGUGACCAUGGGCCUUCAACCCAGGGUGCCCAUCAUCCUAGUGGGCAACAAGUCAGACCUGCGGUCGGGGAGCUCCAUGGAGGCCGUGCUCCCCAUCAUGAGCCAGUUUCCGGAGAUCGAGACCUGCGUGGAGUGUUCGGCCAAGAACCUGAGAAACAUCUCAGAGCUGUUCUACUACGCCCAGAAGGCUGUCCUGCACCCCACAGCCCCUCUCUAUGACCCUGAGGCCAAGCAGUUGAGGCCCGCGUGCGCCCAGGCACUGACGCGCAUCUUCAGGCUCUCAGAUCAGGACCUGGACCAGGCGCUCAGUGACGAAGAGCUCAACGCUUUCCAGAAAUCCUGCUUUGGGCACCCCCUGGCCCCACAGGCCCUGGAGGACGUGAAGACGGUGGUGUGCAGGAACGUGGCGGGCGGCGUGUGGGAGGACCGACUGACCCUGGAUGGUGAGGCUGGGUGCCCGCCUGUGCCUGGGGAGUGUGGGGAGGGGGCUGUGCCUGGUGCUCCCCCUGCUCUGUCUCGGUGCAGGUUUCCUCUUCCUGAACACGCUCUUCAUCCAGCGCGGGCGGCACGAGACCACGUGGACCAUCCUGCGGCGCUUCGGCUACAGCGAUGCACUGGAGCUGACAGCCGACUAUCUCUUCCCUCCGCUCCACGUGCCCCCCGGCUGCAGCACUGAGCUCAACCACCUUGGCUACCAGUUUGUGCAAAGAGUAUUUGAGAAGCACGACCAGGUGAGAGCAUGGCGACUCCCCUGCCCCUGCCCCCGCCCCCUCCCCGGCACACACAUCACCGCAUCCCUCCUUCUGCAGGACCGAGACGGCGCCCUCUCGCCUGUGGAGCUGCAAAGCCUCUUCAGUGUGUUCCCAGCAGCCCCCUGGGGCCCCGAGCUCCCACGCACAGUCCGCACAGAGGCCGGCCGGUUGCCCCUGCACGGAUACCUCUGCCAGUGGACGUAAGUGCGGCCCACACCAUGCCCGCCCGCCGCACCACCCUUGCCACCGUAACACUGUGCCUCCCGCCCACCCCCAGCCUGGUGACCUACCUGGACGUCCGGAGCUGCCUUGGGCACCUAGGCUACCUGGGCUACCCCACCCUUUGUGAGCAGGACUCCCAGGCCCAUGCCAUCACAGGUAGGUACCCACCCUCUCUGGGCCUGGGCCCAGCAUCCUGGCAGCCGCCCUAACCCGUGUCUAUCCUCACAGUCACCCGUGAGAAGAGGCUGGACCAGGAGAAGGGACAGACGCAG
rnacentral:sRNA from 1 species